rnacentral:rRNA from 1 species
UACGAAGGGGGCUAGCGUUGUUCGGAAUCACUGGGCGUAAAGCGCACGCAGGCGGAUUGAUAAGUCGGGGGUGAAAUCCCGGGGCUCAACCUCGGAAUUGCCUUCGAUACUGUCUGUCUUGAGUCCGGGAGAGGUGAGUGGAAUUCCUAGUGUAGAGGUGAAAUUCGUAGAUAUUAGGAAGAACACCAGUGGCGAAGGCGGCUCACUGGCCCGGUACUGACGCUCAUGUGCGAAAGCGUGGGGAGCAGACAGG